GGCAACUUGGCCGAGCGGUUAUGGCGCCAGUUUCAGGUCAACUUGAAAUCUAUAUACUGGUUCGAAAGAGCGUGGGUUCGAAUCCCACAGUUGUCA